rnacentral:rRNA from 1 species
UGGGGAAUAUUGCACAAUGGGCGCAAGCCUGAUGCAGCCAUGCCGCGUGUAUGAAGAAGGCCUUCGGGUUGUAAAGUACUUUCAGCGGGGAGGAAGGCGAUAAGGUUAAUAACCUUGUCGAUUGACGUUACCCGCAGAAGAAGCACCGGCUAACUCCGUGCCAGCAGCCGCGGUAAUACGGAGGGUGCAAGCGUUAAUCGGAAUUACUGGGCGUAAAGCGCACGCAGGAGGUUUGUCAAGUCGGAUGUGAAAUCCCCGGGCUCAACCUGGGAACUGCAUUCGAAACUGGCAGGCUAGAGUCUUGUAGAGGGGGGUAGAAUUCCAGGUGUAGCGGUGAAAUGCGUAGAGAUCUGGAGGAAUACCGGUGGCGAAGGCGGCCCCCUGGACAAAGACUGACGCUCAGGUGCGAAAGCGUGGGGAGCAAACA